rnacentral:lncRNA from 1 species
CCCGCGCCGAACUGCGCAAGGAGCCGCGGGGCAGCCCUACCUGAGGAAGGGGCGGGAGGGCCAAGCCAUUUGUGUCGGGGGAGUGAUGCGCGCAGGCCGGGCGCAUGCUGCCCCUCAGCUAGUCUGGCGCUCGGCAUCCAUCGCUGUGUGCAAAAGCAAGCCGUACCAACCUCGGAUCACUGCUAUUUUAUUACACGAGGUUUCAGCAGGACGUUCCGUGUGCUUAAGUGACGCCCGAUCUCAGUUCCGUUACGUUCACAGGUCACCCCACAAAAGCCGCUGCGCUUAACAACCCUCUCAGAAGCAAAUUCUUCCCGCUACAGUGGGCGCCCCGCCCAGCAGCGCUCCUCCCGGCCAGGCAGAGGCACGCGGCGCCACGUGCGGCAGCGAAGGUGCGCAUGCGCACAAGGCGGGGCUGACGAGAGGGGGGGCGGGAAUAAAGGCACGUGCUGCGGGGCGGUUUUCAUUAGUUUUUGUAAAGGGGGAAGCGUGCGCGCGUGGUUUGUUUGGUGCUGUUGCAGAGGGGCGGUUGUGGUCACGAGCGAGUGGUGGUGCGUGCCUGUAGGAGGUCUUGGUGCAGGCGAAGCGCUGUGUCUGUGCCUUCUGAGGAUCGGGAGGAAACUUGGCUUCUGGUGGAGCAGAUGACAAUAGGUGGCAGCAGCAGUCCAUGGUGGGAGCCAGAGUGAAAGGAAACAGGCUCACAUGAGGUUGGCAUGUUAAACAUAUUUUUUUUCUUUCUCUCUUUCUUUCUCUCUUUCUGAGCACACCUCUGGUUCUGAUUUCUUUUUUUUUUCCCCCAAUUCACCUACAUGCUCUGUAAUAAUUAUCUAGAAGGGCUUUUCAUUUUGUUUGCUGUUAUGCUUCCACAUGAGUGAUUAAUAGAAGCCUUGGCUGCUUACCUCUCAAAACAUAAGCAAGAAGAGAAUUUCUUUGAAAAAUACAGUGCUCAGAUUUAUUCUUGGUUUUUCUAACACCUCACUCCCCACAUACUCACUUACAAACCAAGGUAAAUCAUAUACUUGGGUUUUUAUGCCUCUAAAACUGCUG